rnacentral:tRNA from 1 species
UACCGGGUGGUGUAGUGGAAGCACACCUGAACGCUGUACUAUGGUAUGUGUACUAGGGAGACAUAGGUUCGAAUCCUGUCCCGGUUA